rnacentral:rRNA from 1 species
UUUAAAGAAAGCGUAACAGCUCACUGGUCUAAAUAAGGGUUCCUGCGGCGAAGAUGUAACGGGGCUAAAGAUAUGCACCGAAGCUUAGGGUUCAGAAUUUAUUCUGAGCGGUAGCGGAGCGUUCCGUAAGCGGAUGAAGCCGAAGGGUAACCGACGGUGGACGUAUCGGAAGUGCGAAUGCUGACAUGAGUAACGACAAAGAG